AUCUCUGCGUGACUUCCGCCAGCGUUUAGAGCGUUUUCGGGGUCCGAGUUGAAGAGCAAAACCAAGUGAAGGAAACUUCACUAAGUUCAGGGUGACAAGGGAGGAAGUACAGAGACUGCACUUUAAAUUCUGGAUGACAGACCUAUCAGGACUGAGUGGACCUUUGAGUGACAAGAUGGGGGUGUUCCAAAGAGACCAUGGCAGCCUGCAGCUAGGACUUUAAUUGAACUAUUGGCAUGGCUCAAUCCAUUGACCUGUUUUGGUUCCUGAUGAAGUUUUGUUAAUUUAAAUGAGAAAAAUAAGGACAGUGAAAAACAGAGCGCUUAAAAAGCACUGUCUGGAUAUCUUCAGAGGGAAAAAGGAGAAAGUUAACUGAAUUGGUGACACUUCGGGUCUCUCACAGAGGAAGACCUAUUAGAGUGCUAAGGAGAAGACAAGUUAUUAGCACCCAAAAGAAGCACCAGUGCGGAUGGAAAUACAAGGUUGACAUUCGCUGAGCUGUGUUUUUUUUUUCCAGGGAAAUGGUUAUUCUUGAUAUUUUGAGCAAACUCUUCUUCUCUGAUCAGUGCCCAGAACAAGGAAACAGGUUAGUCUCUCUGAGCCUUAGAUUCCUGAUCUGUAAAAUAAAGAUUAAGGAUAGUUCAUUUUAAACAAGGGUAAUGCUAUUUUCUACCCCUUAGGCUUAUAAGAGGAUAUGUACAGAGCCUGGUGAGUUUUAUAUCAUCUCAUCUUGAAGGCAAUCAAAACUCCUUCUGGGCCUCCAUGACACCCUGAUGGAGUGUCAGCAGUUAUUAAAGUAAAAGAGCAAAGAUAAACAACAGGAGUCUUUGAUCCCAGGGCCUGGUAAUCAGUCCAUUAAAAAAAUAGAGGAUGAGAUCCAGUUAUGCUCUCUAACCCUAUUAAAACCUAGGCAGAUCUGACUCUGCAUGUUUCCUGGGCCUGCUGGCUUUACCAGAUCUAAUAAAGAAAGUGGUUUUAUCUUUGCUCUUACUAACACUGUCACUCUCUGUACUAAGGGUGGUAAUAAGGGUGAGAAGAGAGUGGGAUCUGGAAAGCUGAGCACCAGCUGUUCUAACUACAUAUUUAUGAGAUACCCUUUGUGUCUAAUGUUUCUUUUCCACGGGAGAAACAGAGUCAAGGCCCAUAAAGAUUGAUUAUAUGCUCAAAGUUACAGAGCAAGUUGGAGUAGGAAAAACUAAGAAAAUGUGUUAAUUGAUUGAAAGAACAUUCAUUGAUCAUCCGCCAUGGGCCAACGUUAUGCUAGGCUGUAAGAGUAGGAUUAAAAAUAUGAAUAAAUAUGAGUCCUUUCUCAUCCCUUAGGAGCAAUAAAAUAUUGGUGGCUCUAUGAGAGAACAUUGUAAAAGAUACAACAAAAUCACUGAGGGGGAAGUGCCCAUUUUUCUAGAAGAAAAGGUUCAGAAUAUCACUAUCAAAAAGUUAUAUGUAAUAUAAAUUAUAUAUCAAAAAGGUUAUAUAUAAAACCUAUACCUAUCCUAUAUAUGUCAUACGUAUACAUAUAUAUAUAUAUAUAUAAAUCAACUUCUAUCCAGUUCAAUUGCAAUGUAAUUUCCAUAACUAAAGUGGUACAUAUAGGUGAUUUAAAAAUGUUUUUAGUAGAGUUAAAUGCAAUUUAGCUGGAUUUGUUUGCCUGAUAGUGAAUCUUAAUAGUUGCUGAUUACAUAUUAUAUUGAUCUAAAUUAGCAGGUUACCCCUGUCACAGAUAAUACGGUUAGAAACAUACAGCCUAAGAAUGGCACCAUAUCUCCGUGCUGAGAAAAACCUUGAAAGCUCAACAAUUCAUUUGACUAGAACAAAACUCACAUUUUCUUAUCAGUUAUUUUCUUAUAAUUAUUCAGGUGAUUAUUUUCUUUCCAGCUUUUAUUUUAGGUUUAGGGGGAACAUGUGCAGAUUUGUUACGUGGAUAAAUUGUGUGUUGCUGGAGUUUGGUAUACAGAUUAUUUUGUCACCUAGGUAAUGAGAGUACAAUCCAAUAGGUUGGCUUUCAAUCUUCACCCUUCUCCCACCUUUCACCCUCUAGUAGGCCCUGGUGUCUAUUAUUCCCUUCUUUGUGUCCAUGUGUACUUAAUGUUUAGCUCUCGCUUAUAAGUGAGAACAUGCAGUAUUUGGCUUUCUGUUCCUGCAUUAAUUGACUUAGGGUAAUGGCCCCCAGCUGCAUCCAUGUUGCUGCAAACGACAUGAUUUCAUUCUUUUUAUGGCUAUAUAGUACUCCAUAGUGUAUAUGUACCACAUUUCUUUAUCUGGUCCACUGUUGAUGAGAAUCUAGAUUGAUUCCAUGCAGAUGACUAUUUUAUGAUAUUGGAAUGACUUUUUAAUUUUUGGAAAGUUUAUCAUUCCAAUAAAUUCCAGAGGAAUCAGCAGGUAAAUCUAGACUCAUCAUAGAUUGCUCGCAGACACAAGUGGGUUUUGUAACAAUAUAUCACUGUAAGAACUGUUCUUCCCAAUGAUUAGAGUUGUAGUAAAGUGCUUGGGUAUUGUUUUGUUUUUUGUUUUGUUUUGUUUUGUUUUUGUUUUGUUUUUUGUUUUUCAGACAGAGUUUCACUGUGUCGCCCAGGCUGGAGUGCAGUGGCACAAUCUAGGCUCACUGCAACCUCCACCUCCUGGGUUCAAGCGAUUCUCCUGCCUCAGAGUCCUGAGUAGCUGGGACUACAGGUGCACGCCACUGUGCCCAGCUAAUUUUUUGUAUUUUUUAGUAGAGAUGGGGUUUCACCAUAUUGGCCAGGCUGAUCUCAAACUCCUGACCUCGUGAUCCGCCCGCCUCAGCCUCCCAAAGUGCUGGGAUUACAGGCGUGAGGCACCACGCCUGGCCCUGUGCUUGGCUAUUCUUUUUUAUUGUUAUUAUUUUUAUUUAUUUAAUUAAUUAAUUUUUUUUUUUUUAAGAUGGAGUCUCGCUCUGUCGCCCAGGCUGGAGUGCAGUGGCGCGAUCUUGGCUCACUGCAAGCUCCGCCUCCUGGGUUUACUUACGCCAUUCUCCUGCCUCAGCCUCCCGAGUAGCUGGGACUGCAGGUGCCCGCCACCACGCCUGGCUAAUUUUUUGUAUUUUUUUAGUAGAGACGGGGUUUCACUGUGUUAGCCAGGAUGGUCUCGAUCUCCUGACCUCGUGAUCCGCCCGCCUUGGCCUCCCAAAAUGCUGGGAUUACAGGCGUGAGCCACAGCCCCCGGACUGGUAUUCUUUCUCACAAAUGGCUGCUUGUUUUUAAUUGAUGGCCAACUUGAAGGCAUAAUCUGAGUGAUGUAUCUGAAGAAGAUUAUUAUACCUCAACUUUACAGAAACGAGUUUAUUUUUAAGCUACUAUAUAUUGAGCACACACAAUGGAUCAAGUGCCAUUUUAGAUGCUUUUUGUAUAUUGUCAUAGGUAAUCCUCAUAAACCUUUGAAAAUGGUAUUAUUAUACCCAUUUUACAGAUGCAUAAUCAGGAAUUCAAAGAGGUAAAAUAAUACAUCUAAAUUUACACAGGUACUAAGUGGUAAAACUAGGAUUUGCUUUUGCAUUCUCAACUGUGAUAAAAUAAUCACUAUGCCAGGCAUUUCAGAUGAUGAGGCGAUACAAAAACCUUGGUUCCUGAUUUUUAAGAUCUUAUGAUAUGCUUGGAGAAUCAGAUAUUUAUGAAAGCAAAAUGAUGUCAAUGCUAAAGUUUUAGAAGCAAAAUCUUAUAGCAAUAUUUACAAAGAAAAAAUAUAGAUAGGUUUCUUGGAGUUCUGUGAAACUUCAAAAGAAAAUGUUUUCAACAAGUUGUCAUGGGGAAAAGAUAAUUCUGGGCAAGUGUUCUUGUACAAGUAUGUGAGCUUUGCUCAGAUGUCCAUGGGUAGGUGGCUGAAUAGAGUUCAUGGUGUAGUACAUGAGGGAUAUAGGAGAGGAUUAAGCUGGAAAAGUAGAAGUGAGUGAAAAGAGCAAGACGAUAGACUACCCAUCCUGCAACACACACAAAAGAAAGAAUUUUAAAGCUAUGAAUAUUCUGGUGUAUUUCAGGAUUUCUUAGUGGGAAAAAAUCUUUUUCAUUGUUGUUUGACGAAAUUUACUCAGCAGACUAUAUUCAAUAAUGUGACCUAAGGUUUUAUUUCUCAGACCUUCUCUUUCCAGUACCUCCUAUCUAUCUAGAUAAUACGGAAGCCAGGGAGAAGAAUGGGAACCCAAGAUCUAUGAGCCCUUAUGGCAUAUGAAAAGUGGGUGUUAUCUGAAAAGUAGAACUCUAGAUGAAACCAGGCCUUUCCCAACAAUGGAGCCCAGGACAAUGCUGUCUUCAAUGUCCAUACCAUUAGACUUGUUAUAGAUGAGUUUCUAUAAUGAUGGCUUUCUGGUUAAUUAAACCUUCUGAAUGAUUCUGUGUAACACUGACUUCUGUGAUUCAUCACAGAACAAGUCUUCCUUCUUUCAUGGAGUAUUACUGUUUUCAGUGACUAUAUUUGGUUGUUUACUCUUUUUGGCACCAAUCACCCAGUGAAUCAACAACCAGAGUUGCAAACAAAUUACCCUCAUUGUCUUUUCCGAGUCCCUUAAUUUACUUUAUUUUUCAUUUGUUGCAAAUGUCAUUGUUUCUGCUAAUGUUGUUUUUUAACAUCUGCCAAGAUAAAAAAUAAAAAAAUCACUUGUAA
rnacentral:lncRNA from 1 species